AUUUCCAAUAUCUGAAUACAGAAGGAAACUAUAAUCUCCUCCUUCACCUUAUCGGUCUCUUCCUUAUAGCAAUUCAGUCAUACCAAUAACUGCUAUUUCCACCAAUAUAUUCACCUUCAUAAUCUUCAACUAUAAUACUAUGCCCUCAUAGCUUUCAGCACACAAUUAUCCUCAUUCCAAUCACUGGAAUUCUUCACACAGAACUGCCAUUCACAUUACGGUGUUUCACACAAACACAGACUCAUUCUCUCUAUUGAACUACAAUCAAAUUUCAGCAUUCAAUCUUUCUUCUUCUCAAAUAAUACCAAUCACAUUUCCAUUCCAUAAUUCACUUCACAAUAUUCAGAAAUUCUCAAUCAUCUUAUUCAAAGAAAAUAACAAACAAAAGAAAAGAGGUAGCACCAAGCUUACCCCGGCUCACACUAUCAUAGCGAUGGCACUCUAAUUAACUUCUACAACUCCUAUAUACUUUCCCCUGAUUCUCUAGAUUCUAACCGUAAUUCUGUAAUUAAUCGCUUUUAAGAACUAAAUCACUCAUCCGUCUUCCUGAAUUUCCUAUUAUAUGGACUAUUAAUAUAUUUUACCAAUAUCUUUCAAAAACAAAUUAAUAUCUAUUCUACAUAGCCCUACUCCUAUCUGUGCAGCGUUCUCACAAACACUUAAUUGAUACCUAUCUAAAAAUUAUCUAACAAAUCUCCACAAAAAUUGGGAUCUCUCUGGCCUAUCUAAAUAAUCAAUUGCCGUAGUAUCUGUUAUUGGUUCUACUAAUUCUGGUUCCAACUGUAAAUCUUCGUCCUCCUCCAAUCCUUCCAUUGGCUCCUGCUUCAAUUGAUUUAAUAGAUCUUCAUUAUACUCAUCCAAUAUACAUACUUGAACAUCCAGUUUCAAGAUCUGGACAUCUCGAAGUUCCAAUUGUUGUUGCUGCUGACUCAUCCAUUCUGGAAUAUCUUCAAUCAACACUUAUGAUCGGCUCUUCAUUAUCAACUCUUAAUCGGAACUACUACUCUUGAAAACACAAGAAAUACAAGAAAAUGGCUUUCUAGUCAAUCCAAAAUAAUACCACAAAAUGACUUUAACUAGUGCCCCACUCCUAUUCUUUUACUACUUGGUGAUAAUGACAAUAUGUUAUCCAUACUGUCUGUGAAAGGUAAUGGGAAGUAAUCUUUCUUGGUGGCCGUAUUAAAUUUCAAGAAAUCUUGACAAAUUUGGAUUUUUCCAUUCUUUUUCGAUACCAUCACGAUUGGCGACACCCAUGCACUAUGCGGAAUAGGAUAAAUAAAAUCCAUGUCGAGAAGUUUAUCUAAUUCCUCUUUCACUAAAAGGGAAUAUUUUGGGUUAAUCUGGUGUUACCUCUACCAGACCGGUUAGCGUUUUCUUCUAAAAUGAUAUGAUGCUCACAAACUUCAGCGGGAAUACCUUUUAAAUCAUCAUAAGUCCAAGCAAAAGCAGAUUUAUGAUGCAAGAAAAAUUAGGUCCAGCAGGUCAAUUCUUGUUCCUUAAUACCUUCGUAGACCUUAAUUGUCCGAGGUUUUGUUGUGGUCGCCAAGUUGAUAGUUUGACAUAAAGAUGCAACGGUAAUAUUCUGUUUCAAUCCCCGCGUUGGUUUAAAGUCAGUCGAUAAGUUCAACAUGUACGAAGUACUGAAUCAUGUGUCCAAGGCACUAACAUGGUAUUCAUCAUACUUGGUCGUCCAAUCAGUACUAACAUAAUCUGAGUUUUUUGAGUCCGUCAGGUAUAUCAAGUACUCCCCCGGACCUCCACAUUGAUACACCACUCCAAAGUGUAGUGUUGCUUCCACGGGCGCCUCUGUAAUUGGUGCUACUGCGUUAUCAUCGGAGCUAAGCUUAUUGUCCGACAUUAAUUCAGAUGCUGGCAAUUGAGACUCCCCGUUAUAGUGUAUUAGGUACAUUUGUAACACCAUUUUGUCUUUGCCCUUGCCAAUUGUCAAAGUACCCUGAUCCCGAUUGUUCUUGGCCUUUGUUUGAUAAAACUAGGGUCGUCCCAAUAAAAUUGGAUACAAUAAAGUCAAACGUUGUAAUCAAAAGACAAUAUAGUUGAUUUCAUAUGCAAUACCGACAAUCAUAGUUUGAACACUCCAUAAAAUAUCCAUUGGUUUAACCCGGCUAUGAUUUGCCAUCUGUAAUACCAAUGUCGUAGGUACUAAGUAUUCCAAAUCUAAAGCAUCUAUUGUAUCAGUGUUCAUUAAAUUGACGCUGGAACCACCAUCCACCUGAACUCCCGAGAUCAUAACACCAUCAAUCGAAACAUCGAUGGUAGGUGCACCGGGGUCAGGGUUUAAACUGACUUUACAAACUUCUUUAUUACGAUGCCUAUGCCGUGUUAACAAUAAAUUCAAUGUAGAACGAUACUCUGGUGCGACCGGUAGAAGUUAUUUCAUAAAAAUAGAAGGCCAAAUAGCAUCCAGAUCCUUCAAAAUAUCAUAGGGUCCCAUAUUUAGGAUAAUUUCCAAUACCCUCUUUCUUUUUAUUGGUUUGAGUUUAACUUUGUGAGAUAAGAUAUUCUUCCGCCCUGGACACGGAAUUGAAACAGCAGCCGGGGCUUCCUUGGAAUUCUUACCCCCGAGAGGAUCUUUCAACGGAUAGGACAUUUCUUGAAAUUGCGUAGAGAUUGGAACUGCUUGGAAUAGAACUGAAGCCUCUAUAAUUGGGACCUCAUUGGAUUGUGCCAUCAAAUCAGGUCUCAUAUUGGGUACAAAACUCGUAAUAGGACCUGGAUUGGAUGGUCCCCUUAUUGGGUCAAAUUGGUCUUUCGCAUCGGGAUUAUCCAGAUGUUGAAUUGGUCCUUUUCCCUUUUGUUGACUUCGGGUAAGAACGGCUUGGAUACAUUCUACCCAAUUUAUCAGAGAAUCUUGAGGACCUCGAUUUAUCUCCUCAAUUUUUCCUUGACUUUGAAUAUGUUGAUCCCGAUUAUUGAAAUUGAACGGAGCAUUACAUUGCUGAUACGUAUGCCCCGACUACUUGCAAUUCCCACAAAUUGGUGCAUAAUUGUCACUAGCUCUAGGAUUGGGACAUUCAUUGGCAUAAUGACCAAUCUGUCUGCAACAGAAACAACGAAGUGGUCUUCUUGCACCACCAUCAGGCAUAUUGGGUGUCUCCAUCGGUAUAUACCUACUAGGCUUGUUCCAUGUAGGGUUAGAAAAUGAUCCUGGUUGUCCCGUUAGUAUUGAGGGAACUUCGUUUGAUGAUGUCGGUGGAGCAUAUUGCUGAUACCUCUGCUGCUCCUUACUAUAGUUUUGAGGGUUCGAUGCAGACCUCUGAUUAAAAUUGGAACUUUGAAAGUUAUUGAAUGCUCAAUUUUGUCGAUUAAAUCGAUUUCCAUUCCAUCCAAACGUUGUCGGGGUAGAGAGGUUUUGCCUCAAGAAAGCGCUGGGCUUUUGGCUGUGACUAAUUACUCAAUCAAGCUUAAAAUAAGAAAACCCUAAUUUUAUAUAUAUAAGUUCUCCUUUUGGGACAAUUACACCAAAUACUUAAAUCUUAAAUAACUAACAACACCCAAAAUAUGGUAGAAGUACUCUAAAACCUUGUAUAUCCUUGUGUAGAAAUUCUCUCGAAUCUCAAUACCUCAUAACACUUGAUUCAACCGUCCAAACAAGAUCAAAAUUUACAUGAAGUACUGAUAUGUUGUUAUUAAUUUGUACAACAAAUUUCAACUACAAAUUUAUUGCGGAUCUUGAGAUAUCUUCAAAACCCUAACAAUUGCUUCAAACCCUAAUCUUUAUAUACUUGCACGUAAUUUUCUUUAUAUCUCACAAACCAUAAGUCCAAAUGCCACGAAACUUAUAUAGAUAGCUUCUUAACACAAAUUUUUACAUUCUCCCAAAGUUUGAGCCAAAAUUUCUUUCGAAAACUCAAGUUAUGGCUCCUAACACUACUUUGAACAAAACCGCUCACUUAUUGCCUUUGAUUUGAAUGCACUGUCUUUAACUCCCUAUAACUCCUUCACAUAAACUCCAAAUGCAAAAUUUCCUUUGCAAAACAUGUAUGUCUUGAAGUUGUCCUUUCAGCCGCACCUUUCGAUCUCCAAAAGCUUCCAUAAGACUCCUCUUAAACUCAAAAGAGUAACAGUAGGUCUCAAAUUGAUACCUUAACUUCAAACAACUAUAAUUUAUUCACCCUAACUCCAAACCCUAUAAAAUUUGCACAAAAAUUGUAGCCUAAACCCUAAACUUUACAACCCUUGACUUUGAUUUCCUAAUGGCCUCUUUGAAGUCGCCGAAACCCUUAUCAAGGUCGUGGGCAGCCUCCUAAAAGCCCAUUGGGCAUGGAUUUCGACCAAUGGGGAUGAAGAUCUUUAUUUCUACCUUCAUCCAACCAUGCCUUGGUUUCAUCCCUCCCAAUUAACCUCCUAUUAGUUUAAAUCUUCAUCUUUAGGCUUCUACCUUCUCCCAAGGCUUCAUACUAAAUAUUUAGGUCCUAUAUAUAUAUAUAUAUAUAUAUAAUAUCAAAAUCAAAAGAAAUAAAGUUACAAAGUAAAGUUUCUUAUAUAUCAACUCUUUUUAAUUUAAUCUACUAGCCACUUUAACACACAUCUAGAUUUAUCAACAUAUAAUAUGUUUUAACUAAUUUUUACAUAGUGUAAGCAUUUACAGUACGACAACGUAUUUCUCAUUUGUACUUGAUUGACAUCCCACUAGGUUGGUGGGAUCAUGGUCUAAUUACUAAAUUGUUGUUGUUGUCUUUGUCAAUUCCAACAAUUUGCUAUUAGGUACUUUCCUCCGCAAAAUGUACAUUGACCCAUUAUUUGUGAGGGUGAGGGACAUUCUGUUACAGAAUGACCGUGGCCCUUACAAUUACUGCACCAUACAUUGGUCCUAGUAUUGGUAGGCUUUUGCCUCUUUUCUUUAUCUUUGGCCAUAUUGAUAGCCAUUUCCUCCAUUUUCUUCAUCAAAUUCUAUAACAAGGUUUCAUUGGAAUCUUUUAGGGCUGGCAUUAUAGGUAUUUCUACCGUAGUUAAUGCUUGUUGUUGAUACGAAAAAUAUGGAGCAUACGUUGUUGUCAUGUUCGGUGGUAUAACUUGCAAUGGGGUGACAUUAACUGGCCCCUGAAUAUUGGUAUUGGAAUUGGCCCCUGUUUGUAACAUCCGUGAAUAACUACCCACUGAUUCAUUCCAAGUCGGAUUUUGAUAUCUACCUUGAAUUGGAAUCAUCGUGGCUCCCGCAAUUAAAAACUGAUCAUAAUGGCAUUCUUUUCAAACCUUAGCUCUAUUAAAGGAUGCAGCCACCGUAACAGUUUGAACUUCUUUUAUAAACAUUUUUAGCUCUGGUGGGUGCAAACCAUUGAUUAAUAUGGAUAAGAUAAAUGCCUCAGGCAUUUGAUAAUUAGGCCACUUACUGAGUAUAUCAGCCACUCGGCCAUAGUACGAUUCCACGACCUCCCUUAGGAUCAUUUUGUUGUUCAUUAACCUCUCUCAAAGGCGGUCCUCAAAACUAAUUGGCCGAAAAUGAGAUAAAAAUGCAUUCUUCAAUGCUUCCCAAUUCGAAAAUUGAUCCACUGGUUGGCGGUUGUACCAUUCAAACAUCGUGUCUUUUAAGAUUGCUGGAAGCCAUCGCAACCAAAUAUCUUUAGUUCUGCCAUUAUUAGCUACACAUGCUGUAAGAAAUUGAGACAAAUGUUGAUCAGGAUCCGCACCCGGAAAUCCCCAAAAAGUAGGUAGUGGCGCAACACUAGUCGUACGAUCGCCUACUGCACCUAUUUGUAUUGCAAUCGAAAUGGCUGAUCCUCCUGAUGCCAUUGAAUUUCUUGUUCCGCUAAACUCCGUUUCAAAAUAAUCUCUACUUUUUCUUAUUCUAAUUUUCGAGCUCUCAGUGCUCCUCGAUUUACUAUUAUUUUUUGUAAUUAGUUUUAUUGGUUGAAUUAUAAGUGAAAACGUCAGAUUUUGAAAUAUAAUAUAGUUAUCUUUAUUGGCGACCAAUUUGUGCCAAUCUGAAGAGCCACUAUUGCUCGUUUCAGUGGUACCCCCUAUUGAAAAAAUACCCAAUGGAGUACCAAAUUCUUCUAUGCCUCCUUCUCUUUCAAUUAACGGCCUCAAGAUUUCCACUGGAAUGUUAACAAAAUUUUCCGCGAGUGUUCUUGGCAGUUUUUCUAAUGGUACAUACGAUUACAAAAUUAACAGUUUGUCUUGUUCUUGAUAUGUUUGGAUGCACCGACAAGCUUGUAACCAUGAUUUAAUCCAAUUCUAUCGAUGCUUCCUUUUAAGAUUACGUUCUUGCUCUACUCUAAGCAAGUUCCUUCCUUGCACUCUUUCCUAUCUUUCUCUCAACUGAUUUAUUUUCCUCAAUGCAAUACUCUCGUUCUUAUUAAUUAUAAUCUUGCUUCAAACACUACUAAAAUUGUCUUCUAUUAUCAAUUUUCUCACACGUUUGAUAAUUAAUUCUUAACACUCAAAGCUAUUAUCACUUCCCGGCAGUGGCGCCAAAAUGUGAUUACUCGUUUUACUUAUUCCAAAUUAAUCUAAUGAGAAUAAAUCCAUAUAGGAGGAUUCGAAUAUAGAGAAUAACUAGUUGCUUAAGCGUUUACGUUAGGAUCACACAAUCAAUUACCUCCUGAAUGUAUCAUCUCUAUUUCCAAUAUCUGAACACACAAGGAAACUAUAAUCUCCUCCUUCACCUUAUCGGUCUCUUCCUUAUAGCAAUUCAGUCAUACCAAUAACUGCUAUUUCCACCAAUAUAUUCACCCUCAUAAUCUCCAACUGUAAUACUACACCCUCACAGCUUUCAGCACACAAUUAUCCUCAUUCCAAUCACUGGAAUUCUUCACACAGAACUGCCAUUCACAUUACGGUGUUUCACACAAACACAGACUCAUUCUCUCUACUGAACUACAAUCAAAUUUCAGCAUUCAAUCUUUCUUCUUCUCAAAUAAUACCAAUCACAUUUCCAUUCCAUAAUUCACUUCACAAUAUUCAGAAACUCUCAAUCAUCUUAUUUAAAGAAAAUAACAAACAAAAGAAAAGAGGUAGCACCAAGCUUACCCCGGCUCACACUAU
rnacentral:lncRNA from 1 species